rnacentral:rRNA from 1 species
CCUACGGGUGGCAGCAGUGAGGAAUAUUGGUCAAUGGUCGGAAGACUGAACCAGCCAAGCCGCGUGAGGGAGGAAGGUGCAGAGCAUCGUAAACCUCUUUUGUCAGGGAACAAAAGCCCGGACGCGUCCGCUGCUGAGGGUACCCGGAGAAAAAGCAUCGGCUAACUCCGUGCCAGCAGCCGCGGUAAUACGGAGGAUGCGAGCGUUAUCCGGAUUUAUUGGGUUUAAAGGGUGCGCAGGCGGGCGGUUAAGUCAGCGGUCAAAGCCCGGGGCUCAACCCCGGCGCGCCGUUGAAACUGGCGGUAUUGAGUGGGAGGGAGGCAUGCGGAAUGCGCGGUGUAGCGGUGAAAUGCAUAGAUAUCGCGCAGAACCCCGAUUGCGAAGGCAGCAUGCCGGCUCGACACUGACGCUGAGGCACGAAAGCGUGGGUAUCGAACAGGAUUAGAUACCCGAGUAGUC